rnacentral:rRNA from 1 species
GUAGUCCACGCCCUAAACGAUGGAUACUCACUGUAGCGGGUAUUGACCCCCGCUGUAGUCUAGCUAACGCGUUAAGUAUCCCGCCUGGGGAGUACGGUCGCAAGAUUAAAACUCAAAGGAAUUGACGGGGACCCGCACAAGCGGUGGAUUAUGUGGUUUAAUUCGAAGCAACGCGCAAAACCUUACCUAGCCUUGACAUGCCUCUGAAUCUUCCUUGAAAGAGGGAGAGGCCCUUCGGGGACGGAGGACACAGGUGCUGCAUGGCUGUCGUCAGCUCGUGUCGUGAGAUGUUCGGUUAAGUCCGGCAACGAGCGCAACCCUUGUCUUUAGUUGCCAUCAUUAAGUUGGGCACUCUAGAGAGACUGCCGGUGUUAAACCGGA